AAUCAGUGUAAAGCUCAAAGAACGAGCUAUACGAGUGUUAAGCCUCUCGACAUUGAAAACGUAAAUGUGCAGAGAUGGUGCAGUAUUUGUGCGGAAUCUGUCUCCUAGGAUAUCUUAGGGUCUGCCUGUUCAUAUCAAUGUUCUUUGUUCGGGUCCUGCUUAGGUCAUUAACAACAUUACUAACCACUGUUAGCAAAUUUUUUAAGCAAUUUGUUUUUGCAGUGAAUACAAGGGGAUUCUAGUCAUGCGUUAGGGUCUUGACUCAUGACAUCAAUAAGAAUGCUGAUAAUGUGUCACUAUCAGGUGCCUAUACUACAACUCUUCCCGAAGAAAGGCAGAAAGAGACACACUAAUGACCUUAGCGGUAGCUUACUACAAGCUGCAACUCACAGAAGAGCAACUAUUAUGAAUAUCUUUGUAUAUCAACAGUUCUUCAAACCAUACAGACAGAAUUGAGUUGCUGGGGAGUUUGUUCCACCGCUUCUGCUGCUGAUUUUCAGCCUAUUUUGAAUAAAUGACUUUAUCUGUAGCCUUAAUUUUAUGUAAAUAAACCUUUACCUCUGUGUAAA
rnacentral:misc_RNA from 1 species